rnacentral:rRNA from 1 species
CCUACGGGAGGCAGCAGUGAGGAAUAUUGGUCAAUGGGCGCGAGACUGAACCAGCCAAGUAGCGUGAAGGAUGAAUGCCCUACGGGUUGUAAACUUCUUUUAUAAAGGAAUAAAGAGAGGCACGUGUGCCUUUUUGUGUGUACUUUAUGAAUAAGGAUCGGCUAACUCCGUGCCAGCAGCCGCGGUAAUACGGAGGAUCCGAGCGUUAUCCGGAUUUAUUGGGUUUAAAGGGGGCGUAGACGGGUUGUUAAGUCAGUGGUGAAAGUUUGCGGCUCAACCGUAAAAGUGCAAUUGAUACUGGCAGUCUUGAGUACAGUUGAGGUAGGCGGAAUGCGUGGUGUAGCGGUGAAAUGCAUAGAUAUCACGAAGAACUCCGAUUGCGAAGGCAGCUUACUAAACUGCCACUGACAUUGAUGCUCGAAAGUGUGGGUAUCAAACAGGAUUAGAUACCCGGGUAGUC